rnacentral:rRNA from 1 species
CUCGGUGACAAUAACGCUUUGGACCCACCUGUAUCCAUUCCGAACACAGAAGUGAAACGAAGUAGUGCUGAUGGUAGUGUAGCAUUCGCUAUGUGAGAGUAAGUCAUUACCGGGC